rnacentral:rRNA from 1 species
AGUUACCAGCACGUUAUGGUGGGCACUCUAAGGAGACUGCCGGUGACAAACCGGAGGAAGGUGGGGAUGACGUCAAGUCAUCAUGGCCCUUACGGCCUGGGCUACACACGUGCUACAAUGGUCGGUACAAAGGGUCGCCAAGCCGCGAGGUGGAGCUAAUCCCAUAAAACCGAUCGUAGUCCGGAUCGCAGUCUGCAACUCGACUGCGUGAAGUCGGAAUCGCUAGUAAUCGUGAAUCAGAAUGUCACGGUGAAUACGUUCCCGGGCCUU